UACAGAGGGUGCGAGCGUUGUUCGGAAUUAUUGGGCGUAAAGGGCGCGUAGGCGGUGCCACAAGUCACCUGUGAAAUCCCCGGGCUUAACCUGGGGGCUGCAUUUGAUACGUGUGAUCUGGAGUGAGGAAGAGGGUCGUGGAAUUCCCAGUGUAGAGGUGAAAUUCGUAGAUAUUGGGAAGAACACCGGUGGCGAAGGCGGCGACCUGGUCCUUGACUGACGCUGAGGCGCGAAAGCGUGGGGAGCAAACAGG
rnacentral:rRNA from 1 species